AUCUCUCCUCAUCAUUAUUGUAGGUUGUGGACUUGUGGCUUGGUUAGUUGUCCUCAAUCUUGUUCGAGUAAAAUCGGGAAAACACAACAGUAUAGGUUACAAAAAAUGGUACCGUGUCAAAGACUUUCAAUGAAAAACAAGUCCACAUCAUUGUGAGGAGCGAUGGGCUCCUUUUGAAAGCAACAGAUGAGUACUUAUUACAUUUCAAGCCGCUAAGUUCUUUCAAAACGAAGAAACAAGCAAACAUGUUAAUUAUGAAGAGUCGCGAAGACAAAAUGGAAUAAAUAAUUGGUGAGUGAAAAAAUGGUUGAUAUCAUCGUCAGAGAACGAUAGCAGCUUUCCAAAAUGAAAUGGCAGAUCUUUCCGGGGUUUCUUCAGAUGUCAUUGUUUAGAGAUGUUUGGUACCCCUGGCUAUGUUAUUAAUCGUCGUUACGUGGAGUGUCAUUGCCAUGCAGCACAAGAAUCUAUCUACGUCAUAUUUUCCUAAAAUUGUUUUGUUCUCAAGACCUAUUUGAGAUUUGAUGAUGAAUAAUUGCAUUUGUCUUCAUGCAUCAAUCGACAAAACUGGUUGUAUGCCAUCGGAACUGGUUGGAUGCGGGCGGAAGAAGUAACAACUGGAAAACAAGCAAUUUAACUGGUGUUAAAAGAUCUUUAGCAUUUUGUAUGGAUUUGAGUUAAUCCCCGUACAUAUUCAUGCAAGUAUCUGAUCCUGCUCAAUAGUCGAUUCCAUUAGCUACGUACGUCGAAGUUGCGCGGAACAACAAACAUAGAAACAACUAUUUACUGAUGUUUUAUCAUACGAUUUUUAGUUAAUGGGAAUAACUCAAACCACUUUAUUGUGGUUGGCUUAUUUCUUUAAAUGAUGAAUAUGAUAGAACGGCAAGUAAUAUCAGUUGUGUGAGAAGCAUAAAGAAAAUAAUGGACUGCGAUUUAUUGAGUUUGAUAGCUCAGUUGAAGAAGAAACGUUUGUUGGGAAAUAGAGGACUGAGCACUUGUUAUCAUUUUGAUUAUCUACCUUCAUCACCAUUGACAGUUCUUGGUCUGCGUUUGAAGCCUAAUUUAAUAUAAGAUCACAUGCAACUGUUACGAUGGUUUCGUCGCCAGUACUGUUGAAAAAAAUAUAUGCAACUGUCGUUGUAUUUAACGUGCAAGAAGUGAAAAGUUGAGUAACCUGUGAUGAAUACAAGAAGGCAUAUAUUGAGCUAUGAAUGUGAAAGUGGGAAUGGGGAAUAUUUCAAAACGUAUCUUGGUCGUUGUAGAACUUCUCGCUGGCUGACAGGGAAGGUAGGAUUCGAAGUUAGAUGCACCUGUUAUAUAUUUUCCCUUUCUAAGGUUUUGACAAUGCGGGUCAAUUUAUUCUUUCGCCAUUUGUUGUUAUCGUCGUGUAUUUAGUAUUGUAAAUACACAACAAAGAUUGCCAAAGGUAGCGAGAAUUAACUUUGCUGUUUUUCUGGUUUAUGGGUGAUUGUUCGUAGCUAAGUAGCUAUAAUUGUUAAAACAUGGUUUGACCAUGUUCUGAUUUGAAAUUUCGAUGAAGUAUUUGUAUUUCAAACAUUUCCAAGCUAGAUUCUAAGAAACAAAGUUUGUUUUUUGUGUGCAAUAUUUAUGCAUGCUUAUUAAAUUAAAAAUCACUCCAACAAAUGGUUGGUGAUCGGCUCUUUUUUGAGUUUCAAUCAAAUGUUCAUCGUCAGAAUCGUUCACUGCAUAAGGGAAUAGACCGAAAUUGAAUUUGACAAAAAAAAAAAUACGUUUAUAACCGUAGAGCUCUAACGUCGGUGUCUCAUUUCACGAUCCAAGCUGUAGAUUAAAAUAAUGAAAGCAAAGCUUGCGGACCAACUGAAAGUGCUGAAGUGAUAAGACUAUUUUAACAUGUCUGCUUAUAAACUGCUUAUCUGUCAAAGAUGACGAUGUGCGCUCCGAUUAGCGAAACUCGUUCCUCAACACUUUAAUUUGAGUUUUUGUUUCUUUAUCUUCCUUUGUAUUGGUAAACGUUGGUAUUUUUCUUAGAAUUGCAAUUAAUAUUUCAAACUUUAUUUUUGAAUCGUAUACAAACAAAUCCAGCUUCUAGAGCUAAAACUUGUCAUUUACAUCAACAUUUAUUAAUUGUUUUUGAUGAGACAUAUUAGAAAACCGUGAUUCGUCAUUAGCCAUAAAACACUUUUGUCAUUUUUCCCGUCAUAUCUUAGCGUAACCUCGAGCAAAGUGGGACACUUUCAUUCAUUACAAUGUAGCCGCACAACAAAAAACAUUGUUAAGACCAAAUUUGGCCGAAACAAUCCUUGUCAUCUGACAAUUAUUUGGUAGUAAUUUUAAAAACAUAGUCCAUCUUAAGGUCAUGCUUUGAUCAUUCAAGUGUGUGAUCCUUAGGUGUCUCACUUUGUUACCAAUUGGAAAUUAAACGAGACUUACCUUAAAUCGAAGUUUAAAUAAAAUUCUAUUAGUCAUUAGCGAGGAGUGCAGGAACUGUAGGAGAUAGAGUACUGCACAUGAAUUGACCAGUAUUUAGAGCACGAGUAUUGGUACAAUGGUUAGAGUGGAGGAGAGGGGAUCUGAAAAAAUAUGGAUGGGCCUACGCUUGUAUGACAGCUCUAAAAUUUACAUGCACUAAUAAGGUAACGGCAUCAAAGAGCGUAGUCGUAAUGGCGCGAAAGUCCGGCAAGACUUUGUCUCCCAGCAUUUUAAUUGGUCAUUGACAGUAACUGAGAGAGAACUUGUCACACACACACUAGAAUCUUGUAGAACUGCGGUGUGCAAAUCUCGCUGACGAUGGAAAUUUUUAAGGCUUGACCAUAUAAGCUCAUUGAGUUUGGGCACAGUAAGUUUGUCGCAAUUUUGCGGUGGCUUUUCAAUUAUUUUUUUGCGCUCCUCAAGCCCAAUAUUGGAAGGAAAUUUUUCAUUUGUAAUCUAAGCUACUUUUACAUUCAAAUCUGAGCAUCUUUACUGUCAAUGUUGUUCAUCAAACAUGACGCCAUCGGUACACAGUUUUCUGAAUGAAUGAAAUAAGAACCACUAUAUAAAAUUGCUGCUUUCGUAUGACAGUUUAUACCUCAAACAUAUAUUUAAACUUUAUAUAAUAGCACACAGUAAGGUAUAAACGCAGCCAUGAAUUACAAACUUACAUCAAAAAUUAACGAAAAGCAAUAUUUACACGUGCGUCCGAUACACUACAUGAAUGAAGAGUGAAAAUCAAUGACAUGAAACGCAACCUGAGGUUAAAAUAUCUUUAACGGCAUAGUAACCUACAAAUUUCGCAUUUGAAUUUUCCCCGUGACUCUGUUAAUGGGGACAGAUGAACUGUGUGACCACAUUUAACCGUCGUAUAAAAAUCACGACAGCGAUUACAUUUUUCUGAAAAUGAAGAGAUAGAUAUUGUUGAAGAUAAAAAACAUUCGCUAAUUUGAAUUGAACAUAAGUUUCGGCACCGGCAAGCAGUUAAGGUGCAGGUAUGGUCCCGGAAGUAAACGGAGCUCUUACCCGUGUCAAUUAGUUUCAAGUCCUAGGAAUUAAACAGGGCGCGCGCGUGUAAACCGGAAACACGUAAAAUGAACGAAGGUUGCUACUGGAUGACAUGAGUAGUUAAGGUGCAGGUAUGGUCCCGGAAGUAAACGGAGCUCUUACCCGUGUCAAUUAGUUUCCAGUCCUAGGAAGUAAACAGGGCGCGCGCGUGUAAACCGGAAACGAUAUAAAAUGAACGAAGGUUGCUAUUGGAUGACAUGAUUAAUUGAAACACGAUAAAACUUAAUUAAAUUUGUCAAUUGUUUUCUAUUCUUAAAGCAAUAUUAGAUCCGUUUUCUUGUUUCCUUUGCAAAUAUAAAAAAGGAGAACACGUUACAAUUUUAUUGAGUUAAAGUUAUUUGGUAAUUUUUGUCUUACUAAAACGAAAAUGGCUUUAAAAGUAGACAUUGAGCAAGCAAAGAAAGUGAAGGAAUCGUCCUUCGAAUUUGAAGAUGAGAGCCAUGUUUUAUAUGAACGCCAAAGCAAUAUACAGAAUAAAUUGUUGAAGUGCUAUGCUACUGAAAUUGGUUUUAAAAUAUAUGAACUUGUGGCAAAAGACUGUGACGGUUGUCGCGUUCAACACCCCUCACAAAAGCGCCAUGAAUGCUUGAUGAUGCCUAAUGAUGAAAGGGUAGCGAUUUACUUUGAAGAUGCAGUAUCAAAAAUUGAUGAGGAAAAAGUCAUGAAAUCCUUCUUUGAUAGUUUACAAGACAUGACUCCGAUAGUAAAUGGGCUAGAACUUAUCAAGUACACUUGCAAUGAUUGGAGAAAAAUAUUUUUGACAGAAAAAAAGAACAAAUUAGAACAUGAGACGUUGAUAUUCUUAAAUAAAUUUUAUUGAAAUAAAACAUUUUUAUUUUAUUGGAAAAAACUAGCAACGAUCACUCUGAAAUAAAAAGAAAUCAAUCUUACUGACUGUUCUACUGUAUCAAUUUUCAAAAGAUAAAGAAUUAUAAAAAUACAUACUCAAAAAAAUCUUCCAGAAAUCUGUCGACUUCUUCGUCAAAACAUCUAGAGUAUAACGGAAGGGACAUUACAUAAAAAAAACACGACUACAACAUUCAGCAAGCAUAUUAAUUAUUUGACUUACAAGCAUUGGGACAUUGAAAUGGCAAGCACUCCACAAGCCUCUCCUCUACUAAAGAUAAAUGAAUUUUAUGCCCGCAGCUCGGUGGACAGAUCACCCAUAGUUUGCAGUGUUCACAUUGGCCUAAAACAAUGAACAAAAUCACAACUUAAAUUUUCUAAAGUCAAAUCUAACAUUGAAAUUGUAUUCCAAUUCAACUUACUCAAAAUGGGUCGAAUUGUUUGAGAUGUAGCCAUUCCUCUAUCUGUUGUUUCUCUUUGCUCUCUUUGCCUUCGCCGUUGACUGAUGAUUUUUGCCUAAGACUUUGGCGUGAGUCCUUUUACAUGCACAUUAUUGACAUAGGCUCUUUUGUUAGCAGUAAUUUUCCAAUGGAUCGAUUAUUUCCUUGGCAAGCGUGCGUUUCAGAUUGAAUGAAGGCAUUAAAGUAUUAAAACAGUAAAUUAACUCGUAUGUAUGCAGGCCUGAUGUAUUUCAAACACCUCCAAUUAAGAUUGUGAAAUAACGUGCAAAGUCAUUGUUAGUUUUGGUUUGGAAAAAAUAUUAUGUAUCAUAACUGUCUUAAAAAUUAUAACUAUGAGUCUUAACAAUUAUUAUCUCUGCAAUUUUUAACUUGUCAUUAUACUAUGAAAACAAGCAAUAAGAAAUUUUUCAUCAUUCGUGUUGAGAAAGAAUUUUGAUGGAAAUAUGAUUAAAAGAAGCCUUAAUCAAACAAUUAAAAAAAAUGUAGACAAAACUUAAUCCUUGAGUUAAUUAUUACCGGCUAGCACAGCUAGAGUCCACAUAUUUAUGAAACUGUAGGAUUACUAUUUUGGUAUUUUCAUGGGAAAAAAUUUUGACGGAAAUAUGAUUAAAAGAAGCCUUAGUCAAACAAUUAAAAAAAAAUGUAGACAAAACUUAAUCCUUGAGGUAAUUAUAAUCGUUUUGUAUGGAUCUGAGGACAAAACAGAGAAAAAUACCUCGUUUUUUGAAAAAUACCCGGCUACGUGUGGACAAAAUCUUAAACACAGCCAGAACCUGCGCAUUGCAAAGUUAAAUAAUUCCUAUUUUCGUAUCGUUAAUAAGGAGAAAGGAUUUUGAUGGAAAUAUGAUUAAAAGAAGCCUUAAUCAAACAAUUAAAAAAAAUGUAGACAAAACUUAAUCCUUGAGUUAAUUAUUACCGGCUAGCACAGCUAGAGUCCACAUAUUUAUGAAACUGUAGGAUUACUAUUUUGGUAUUUUCAUGGGAAAAAAAAUUUUGACGGAAAUAUGAUUAAAAGAAGCCUUAAUCAAAUAAUUGAAAAAAAGCCGACAAAAAAAUGGAGUCAUUGGGACAUUAUAAAAACUCAAGCACUGCAGAUCAUAUGCAUUAAUUCGACAAACGUUUUGCAGCCAGAGAUAGAAAAAAAGAACCAAGGAAGAAAAUGGUUUCUAUUGAGAAGCACAGAUGCUUUUGCAAAAACGGCGGUCUGAAACGUUUUACUUCCAACGAGGGCCGCGUCUUUCUAAAGUACGCCAAAGAAAAAUGUAAUUUAUUCACGCCCGAAGAAAAGUACUUGCAGCUUAUAGACGUGUACGAUAAGAAUGUACUGAAGGAAUUCAAGCCGAACCGUUUUCCACUCUGCGAGUGCCAAGUGUUUGCAUGUCUGUGGGUAUCGAACUCGGCCAACAAUCCUGGCCGACCCUACUUUCGUUGCAAGUAUAUGGCAAGUGAAAAGAAAUGUUCACUCUUUCAUUGGGCUGACGAAUCUAUGAAAGGCAUUGGAAAAACUAAAAAACCAUCAGCGCCCAAAAGAGAGUCGAGCACUAAGGUACCAAAAGCUGAAGAAUCAAAGCGCUCCAAAAUAAUUGUGGAGAAUUCAUCCGAUGAUGAAGAAAACUGAUGUCCAAAGGCAUAAUUUACAAACUUUAAAACUUUAAAUUCCAUAUAAUCUUGAUGUGUUUACAAUAUAAUCUAUGUAUGAAUUUAAAUUUCAAAACUAUUUUUUUUGCUUAUUACAUCAUGACAUGCGCAAUGAUGAUCUCUGUAGGGGGUAAAGUACUAUAAGAAAAGGUACAAGAUAGCCUUUUAUAUUGCGAUACAGAUAGUUGUAUUUAUGUAAAUAAACCGGGGGUUCCAAGGCCACUCUUAGGGGAUUACCUGGGUAAUUUAACAAACGAAAUCACUCAAGAACAUGGGGUAGGUAGUUACAUUACAAGAUUUGCAUGUGGGGGUCCAAAAAAUUACGCGUACGUUGUAAAUAAUGGGAAAAAAACAUUGUAAGAUACGAGGUUUUACUUUGAAUUUUAAAAAUAGCCAAAUUCUUAAUUUUGAUUCUUUGUAUGAAAUGAUAUUAACUAUGUACGUUCAGAUGACGAAAAUAAGAAAAAUAAAAUAGAUGUUGCAAAUAACAGUAAAAUAACACGAGAAAAACGGACCCGUCGGCUUGUCAACAAGAAAGAAGUAAAGCAAUAUCAGAUCGUCUACGACAAAAGAAUAAUUGUCAACUCUGGUGAAGACACAAUACCUUACGGAUAUUAUUGGUCACCAGCGUCUAACUCUGCUAGUCCGUCUGUAAAGCCCAUUAUACGUCUUCCAGAUUCAAUGCUUUAUACAAUGGUACAGCCCACGGCACUAGGGUGUAGAGUAAAUCAUAGCUGUGUUGAUGACAAAGCUAACGUUGGGACAUGUAGUGAUGAAGAAAUGGAAGACGUUUUAGUGUAUAAGUAUAUUGUUAAGGAUGGUGAUGACGGUGACAUGAUUUUUGAGAAUGAAGAAAACGCAAACGAUAUUAGUUUAUUGGAAACUGACGACGAGGAAGAUAUGGAUUUUGAAUCAGAGAACGAAUAUGAUAAAACAUUUAUAAAUGACAUUGAAAUGUCUGAAGAUGAAAAUAACGUUUCUUUUUAUCGAAGGUUUAAUAGUAAUUAUUAAUUUAACGCUGAUUGACACCGUAUUAAUAUUUUCAAAGAACAUUUAAAAAGUAGUUAAUCCAUGUCCAUCAUAUUUUCAAUGUUCAAUUUAUAAUAAUGAUGAAUAUUUACACCCUCA